UCCCCAGUGGCGCAACUGGUUAGCGCUCGGUACUUAUAAUGCCGAGGUUGUGAGUUCGAUCCUCCCCUGGGGAA
rnacentral:tRNA from 1 species